rnacentral:rRNA from 1 species
AACGAACGCUGGCGGCAUGCCUAACACAUGCAAGUCGAACGAGACCUUCGGGUCUAGUGGCGCACGGGUGCGUAACGCGUGGGAAUCUGCCCUUGGGUUCGGAAUAACACAGAGAAAUUUGUGCUAAUACCGGAUGAUGACGAAAGUCCAAAGAUUUAUCGCCCAAGGAUGAGCCCGCGUAGGAUUAGGUAGUUGGUGGGGUAAAGGCCCACCAAGCCGACGAUCCUUAGCUGGUCUGAGAGGAUGAUCAGUCACACUGGGACUGAGACACGGCCCAGACUCCUACGGGAGGCAGCAGUGGGGAAUAUUGGACAAUGGGCGAAAGCCUGAUCCAGCAAUGCCGCGUGAGUGAUGAAGGCCUUAGGGUUGUAAAGCUCUUUUACCAGGGAUGAUAAUGACAGUACCUGGAGAAUAAGCUCCGGCUAACUCCGUG